UACGUAGGGGGGCAAGCGUUGUCCGGAAUCAUUGGGCGUAAAGCGCGUGUAGGCGGUUCGGUAAGUCGGCUGUGAAAGUCCAGGGCUCAACCCUGGGAUGCCGGUCGAUACUGCCGGACUAGAGUUCGGAAGAGGCGAGUGGAAUUCCCGGUGUAGCGGUGAAAUGCGCAGAUAUCGGGAGGAACACCAAUGGCGAAGGCAGCUCGCUGGGACGUUACUGACGCUGAGACGCGAAAAGCGUGGGGAGCAAACAGG
rnacentral:rRNA from 1 species